rnacentral:lncRNA from 1 species
AUGGGAAACAGACUUUGGAAUGAUGAAGCUAUUGCUCUGCACCCAUGUGACUUCUUGAUAUUGUUGCUUCAGAUGCAGAGGGACAAGCAGUGCAGGGCGACGUGGCAGAGCCAGGCAGAGCACUGUAAGCAGGCACUGCGUGGGCUGCCUUUGGAAUGGGAUGAGCAUUUGAGGCACCACAAAUCGUGCAGAGCAGGUGAGCAGAAUGUCACAGAGCAUGUGAGGAGGGGGAUGUUGCAGGGAAGGUCUGUGAGUGAUGUGAUGUGCACUGAUGGCACUGCUGUGUGUGGAAUGGGUUUUUUCUUCAUUCCCCCCCUUAUUUUUUUUUUUUUCCUAGAUGAUAAAGAGGGGCCCAGGGACUGCAGGAUUGAUCCAGUUGGCUGGCUGUGGUUUUCUUUGUGGAGGAUGGCUUCAGACCCCUGGCCCUCUGAAAGCUAAGUUGAGGGUCUGGUCCUGGCAAUUGUUCGGGGGAGGGAAGGGACAAGGUUGGGAGUGGCAGGGAGGGGUUUUAAAGUCAGAGUGGGGCAGGGGGCUGUCCCGGAGCAGUCCCCUCUGGGCAGGUAAAGGGGGUGGUGAGCACAAAGCCAGUAUGUGCCAGGCAGGGCAAUUCUAGCCUGUGUCUGUUUGUUUUGCGUGGUCUAUCUCUUGUGUUUUAGACUUUCCUCAGGUCUUGAUGUCCUUGUUGCUCUUUGUGCUCAAGGGGCACAGCGGGUUCCUCCGGCACCACCCGUAGGGUCUAGAACGCCUGCUCUCAUCGGCAUCGUGCCCAAUGGGCGCUUCUUUUCUUGCAUAACUGAAUUAAAGAAUAAAGCCAGGUAUGACUUAGCA